GCCCCGGUGGUGGAACCGGCAGACACGCACCCCUCAAAAGGGUGUGCCGAAAGGCGUGAGGGUUCGAAUCCCUCCCGGGGCA
rnacentral:tRNA from 1 species